AUUGAACGCUGGCGGCAUGCCUUACACAUGCAAGUCGAACGGCAGCACGGGAGCAAUCCUGGUGGCGAGUGGCGAACGGGUGAGUAAUAUAUCGGAACGUGCCCAGUAGUGGGGGAUAACUGCUCGAAAGAGCAGCUAAUACCGCAUACGACCUGAGGGUGAAAGGGGGGGAUCGCAAGACCUCUCGCUAUUGGAGCGGCCGAUAUCAGAUUAGCUAGUUGGUGGGGUAAAGGCCUACCAAGGCAACGAUCUGUAGUUGGUCUGAGAGGACGGCCAGCCACACUGGGACUGAGACACGGCCCAGACUCCUACGGGAGGCAGCAGUGGGGAAUUUUGGACAAUGGGCGCAAGCCUGAUCCAGCAAUGCCGCGUGCAGGAAGAAGGCCUUCGGUUGUAAACUGCUUUGUCAGGAGAAAUACUCUAGUUAAGUAACCCUUGGGGGAGUGACGGUACCGUGAGAAUAAGACACGGCUAACUACGUGCCAGC
rnacentral:rRNA from 1 species